rnacentral:tRNA from 1 species
GGGCUCUUAGCUCAGUUGGUAGAGCAGCGGACUCUUAACCCGUAGGUCGAGUGUUCGAGUCACUCAGGGCCCACCA